CACUUGUACCUUGAAUCCACAGUUAUUAUCGAAGAUUUUAAAAAUACAUAUAGCUUUUUGAGCGCAGCAGACGAUUCCUCUUGGCAGUAAAUAUUUUGUUCAUAACAAACAUUUUAACACAAAGCAACCACCACAUUGCAGGUGAGAGCUGAAAGUAAUUUGAUACACAGCAAGAACAGAACUAACGAGUAGAUAACAUGCAUUGAUUUAAGGUACCAUUUUGUAGUUAAAUCUAUGACUUUUGCCACAGCAGACGGGCUAAGAAGAUGUUUUCAUGAAGUUUACAAGCGCAAUGUGAUGGUGGAAACGGGGUAUAGCUUGGUUGGAAGAGAUUGUAGGAAUCGGUGUGGGCUGAGGGGAGAUUGGACCUUGUGACCUCAUGCCUAUCAUAGGAAGCUCUCACCAAUCGAGCCAGUUCCCAGCCAAGAAAAUAAUACAAGAUACAUUGUUAAUGAUUUAGUUAAUUUUAUAGUUCUACGUGAAAACAGAUUUAUUAACCUUGUCCUCUAUUAUAAUGAGAUGUUAAAUUCUUUCAA